CUUGGGGACCGAGCAACUGGAGAUGAGUUCAGCUCUGUAAUGACAAUGUGACCUUAGGUGAGUCACUUGCCCUCUCUGAGCUGUCCUCUUCGCCUGGCCCUGCUUUCUGCCUGUAGUCACCAGAAUCAGGCAGACGAACAAAUUUUACAGAAAGGAGAAAGAUUCCGGUGUCGUUGUGUACUGAGAGCCUCCUUUUCUCAUGCAGUCUGAGCUGAGCCGGAAGUGCUCAUCCGCUCCUCUGGUACCUUCUCUCUGCAUUAAAUUCCCCUCAGUCGGGCACCCCUGGACUCCUACAUUAUAGGUGACAGACACUGCUGGGCUGCAAAACUGGAACUCAGCAAGGACAGGGUGACCAUGGAGUCCGUGAAGCCCCUCCCACCUGCUCCUUCUCAGAGUGUCAGGCUCUGGGCAGGGUUCACCUGCUACCAGAUAUCUGAAGGCAGAGAUUCCAGGCUUGUGUUGUCCUGGGCACCCCAUGACUGAAGACCCCAGACCUUUCCAUGUUGAAGAGGGCUCAGUCUGGGAAGAAAAACAGCAUCCGGUGUUAAAAACAUGAACCUUA
rnacentral:lncRNA from 1 species